rnacentral:tRNA from 1 species
GAGGGUAUAGCUCAGUGGCAGAGUGUGUGCUUAGCAUGCAUGAGGUCCUGGGUUCAAUCCCCAGUAUCUCCA